rnacentral:tRNA from 1 species
CGGGAUGUGGCCCAGUUUGGUUAGAGCGCUUGGUUCGGGACCAAGAGGUCGUGGGUUCGAAUCCCACCAUCCCGA